GCUGGGCAUGGUGGUGCAUGCCUGUAAUCCCAGUGGCUCAGGAGGCUGAGGCAGGAGGAUGCAGGUUCAAAGUCAGGCUCAGCAAUUUAGGGAGGCUGUAAGCAAUCUAGGGAGAUCCUGUCUCAA
rnacentral:sRNA from 1 species